GAGCAACCAGUCGCCGACCCUCUUGUGCUUUGAAAAGAACCCGAUGCCGUGGGUGGAGAGACUUUCGCAGCUUGUCUGGAGUAGCAUUGAUAUCAUUGGAGGGAAAGAAGUAUCGCCGCUGUCACCGAGCUUGUUUGCUUCGUCGGCCUCAGACCUGAAGUCCUCAGAGGUGCUAUAAUUUUGAGCUUACUUUGCCGUUCUCGAGAAUCUGGGUUAAAUCAAAGAUUCUUUUGGAGACAUGAAUGCUCAAGCUUUGUAUGAUGGCCCUGAAGUUGUAGGUGCAAGGGUUAAUAAGAGGAGAAAGAAGUUAGCAAACAAGGAUAAGGGGACCCUUGGAGAGUCUUCUUCUGCUUGUCUAGGCUAGAGUCGGCCUCACGCUGGGGUUACACCGCCAACUCCUACAACGACUACUAGUGUGGUCCCUACAACCAGGUCCUUGUCUUCCACACUACCAUCUUGUGUUCGAAUGGUGGUGCCCAGAGUUGAGGAGCUUAUUCAGAGUGACUAGGUUCAGGCAGAUUGGUCAUUUUUCUGGAUUUUUCAUCCCCGACGAGGGCCAACAAUGUCCAUACAAUGAUCAUUUUGAUCAAUCUCUCUAAGUCUAUCAAGUAGUUGAAGAAGGAUAAGGAAGAUGCAUGUCGUACCCUUAUGGACGAGGUAGAAACUGUUAGUGGCGAGAGGAACAGUUGUAGGAUUGAGCUUGAAAAACUCAAAAGCUCGUCUUGUUCUGAGAUCAAUCAACUAAAGCCUAAGAUUAACCAGCUCCAAAAGUCUCAUGCAGUUGAGGUUGAGCAACUUAAAGCUGAUGUGGAAAUUGAUCACCUUCAAAUCCUUGAAGAAUACGGAGAUAUCUUAAAUAACAAGUUCUUUCAGGUCUGGAAAUACAACCGCAGUAUUGAUUUAACAUUUUUGAAUGGCAGAGAGAAGUCCCUACUAAAGGCUUGGGAAUAGAGACUUGUUGAUGAGGAAAAUGCUUCUGUUCGCACCUCCUUAGCACAGUCAGGGGAUGGUGAUGUUGCAAGGACUGAAAAUCUUGUUACCAGCCCUUCUGUCGACCCUUUAGCUACCUCAGACAACCAGACCCUUGAGCUCGAGUCCUGAUAGCUUGGUCUCUAGUGCAUCUCAUGUUUGAGUAUUUUGUAUUAGCACACUCUUGACUCUUGAUAUUCUGUUGUAGUCUGUACUUGUAUUAAAACGAACAAACCAUUUUGUCGUUUGUUCAUAAUGGGAACAUACUAGUUUACCUUUUGUUCUUAGUGCGAACAAACUAGUUUUCCUUUUGUGCAUGAUGCGAAUAGAGGUUACAUGUACCAACAAACAAACUAGUUUGCCUUCUGUAAAUGGCGCGAACAACUUGUGUGUUUUUA